ensembl:lncRNA
GAAACGGUGCAACCUCAACCUUUAUAUCAUUAUUAUUUAGAGCCCGGUGGGUGUUUAACCGCGUGGGUGUUUCCAUUUGUGCCUGAGGACGUAGCCGCUGUGAAACAACCAGAAAGGGUUAGGGUUCCUCUCUCCAUCGUCCCGCUCCUGGCUGAUGCAACCGGGCCUCCGCAGACGGUGACAUCGCCGCACACCUCCAGAGGGUUUUGAUGUGGUACAAGUGAAACCCGGAGACGAUGUCACUCUGGGGUGUCUCGCUGGCGAAGGCCACAUCAAAGCUGUGGAGUGGACCAGAACUGACCUGGAGCCAGAGUACGUCCUCUUUUACAGCGACAGACGCUCAGAUCCAACCCAGCAGCAUUCAACCUUUCGGGGCCGGGUGCAGCUGGUGGACGGCGAGCUGAAGGAUAGAAACGUGUCUUUAAUUCUCAAGAACGUGAGCAGCAACGACAGCGGGACGUACGAGUGUCGAGUGUCCCUCGGUGGUUCGACGCGGGUUAAGAAAGCCCUCAUCGAGACUGAGCCGAUCUCGAGCAUCACACUGGAGGUCGCAGACUCAGGGCCCAGGAACGUCGAGGUCGGAAGCCACAUUCGUAUUGGACUGGCAGUGGGUUCUGUAGUGUUUUUCCUUUGUUAAGCUGGAUUGGUUGUUUCCUGGAAAAUGAGGAAGCUACCAGAGCAGCCUGCAGGUGGAUCGUGACCUGUGACCUCCCCCCCCCCUCUGCUUCUUCCUCCUGUACACCAGCAGCUGGACUUUCAACCCUCAGUCCCUUUCUUUCUCAUCAGCGAGACCUCGGGCCCCCACAAAUACUGACGACUGGAGUAAAAAGCAUAAACAUUAUAUUUCCAACAGCUCCGUCUGUUGUUGUUACAAACCAGAGACAAAUAAGCUGAGAUCAGGUGACCAAUCAUUCCUUCUCUGGAGUCACUGCCCUCUCCCAGUGUUCACUAAUCAAACUACAGAGCACCAGCCUCUCAAGGUCGGUGCUCGGUCCCCUCCAGUGUUACGCAGACAACCUCCAGUUCUACAUUUGUCUACAUAUUUCCCCUGUCUUUAUAUUUGUACGUACUCCUUUUGUAUUGUCUAGAUUUUCUAACUUUAUUUAAUAUUUUUCAAGGCUUCAUGGUGAUUCCUAUGUAUUCCACCAAUGUACCAAGUCCUCGUAUGUGUCAUUGUUAUGUUGUUGUUGAAAGGUACGUUUGCUGUCAUGUACUCUAGUAUAAGGAAAUUGUGUAAUUUUAAAUGUUCAUGUCAAUGUUUUAAGCACAUGUAUAGUCAGUACUUUAUUUCCUAACCUGCACACGUCGGGUUUUACUUCCUCUUUGCUCGGGGACUUUUCCCAGAAAGGUCCACAGUUCUGCUGCUCUCCGUAUUUUCAUUGUUUUUGUUGUAAAAGUGAAUGUAAGUUACCUACAAAUACUUGUAAAGCUGCUGUAGUCACAGUGUUAACUUGCAGACUUAUUUCUUUUCAUGCAUAAACUUUUUUUCUAAUUAGAGGAAAAGCAACGCAGAAUUAGACCCACUACAUAUGCACUGACUAGAAUAUGAAAUGUGUGUGAAAUAUGUAAUAAGUAAUAUUACUGCAAUAUUAAGACUGAAGAACUCUAAGAUAACAGUUAUUAGCUUUUGUUUUUGCUCUUUCAGCAAAUUUUGGGAUGAAAAUCUUUUAUAUUGUUAAGUUUUUUAGCUUUUCUUGUACAACAAGGGAUGCUGUGAAAUAAAGUCUUUAUUAAUGUGAAGUGUUUUAGUGUCUCUCAAUGGUGCAGAUGCUGUUUUAGAGGUUUUUAAUGCAAAAUCUAUCUAUUUGUGAUAUAUCUUGUUACCAUACAUGAAGCCUUUUAGGAUAUUAAUUUAAGACAUCUGGAUGUGUUUCAAAGACACAGAGUUUCCUUAAAUGUAAAUUAUAGCGUAUAGUAAUUCAUUUUACAAUCCUGUGUUUAUUGUUCAAUUAUUGUACAUGGAAACUAAAUCAAAAGUUUAUUAGACACUUAAACUGUUUUUCUCUAUAUUUCCCUUUACACUAA